UCUAUUAAAUCUCUUUCAAUUUCCUUCAAAAAUUUCGAGUUGGUGUAGGGUUUGUUUUAUCUUGGUCAGAUAUUCAUUACUAUCAAGGUCAUUAUGGGUUUGGUUUUUCUGAAAGUUAUUUAAAUUAUUUCUUUUCAAUAUAAAUGCUGUUAAUUAUUACUAACUCAAAUUUUUCCUAAAUGUGUUCAUCUGAGAUAAUCAGAAGUUUUUCCGAACGAAAUUAAAUCAUUACUUUUCUUGUUCUUUUUCCAACUUUCACGAUCGUUUUUGAAAAACCCCUCUUUAACCUCUAUUUUUUCAAUUCCUAAUCCGUCAUUAGAUGAGAGAAAUCAAAUACCACAGAUACUUAUUGAUUAGGAUCAUAUCGCAUCAAUUUUUGAACAAUUCUACAACAUAGUUUUUAGAUCAAGAUUAUUCUUAUCAAAAUGUUAAGUGUUUCAAUUACUUUAUUCUUUGGGUUACUUGCAUCAGCAAUAUAAAAUGAAAAAUUUCAUGUAUAUUUCUCCUGAAACACAUGAAAUUGAAUUAUUGAACUUAAAUAAAAAAUGAAUUCAGACAUGAAGUGUCAUUCAUACCUACAUACAUAAUUUUCAAGUAAAGAUCGAAUAUUCAAGUUCUUUAGUUGAUCAAAGAGCAAGAGGUCAUAAUUUUAGUUGAGAGUCACUGUAUUUCAUUUCAUCCUGUUCAAUUGUGUUGAAAAGAAACAUACCGAAUAUCAAAACGAUUCACUGAAAAGCUAUGUACAAGAAGUUUACAAACCAUGAAUGAUAAAUAUGAAGGGAUUCAAGUUAGCCAGGGCACAAACGAACAAAACAUAUUUGAAGGACGAAAAGAUCAGAGCUUCAAAAAAAAAUAGGUCUUUAUUUUCAAUCAAAAAUGAAACACGAAAAAC